CCCUCUUGUGGGGAAUAACUUUGGGAAACCGAAGCUAAUACCGCAUAAGUCCGAGAGGAGAAAGCAGAAAUGCGCAGGAGGAGGAGUCCGCGGCCGAUUAGCUAGUUGGUGAGGUAAUGGCUCACCAAGGCAACGAUCGGUAGCCGGCCUGAGAGGGCACACGGCCACACUGGCACUGAGACACGGGCCAGACUCCUACGGGAGGCAGCAGUGGGGAAUCUUGCACAAUGGGGGAAACCCUGAUGCAGCGACGCCGCGUGAGCGAUGAAGCCCUUCGGGGUGUAAAGCUCUUUCGACGGGAACGAUUAUGACGGUACCCGGAGAAGAAGCUGCGGCUAACUACGUGCCAGCAGCCGCGGUAAUACGUAGGCAGCAAGCGUUGUUCGGAGUUACUGGGCGUAAAGAGUACGUAGGCGGUUUGCUAAGUCUGGUGUGAAAUCUCCUGGCUUAACUGGGAGGGUGCGCUAGAUACUGGCAGGCUUGAGUAUGGGAGAGGAGAGUGGAAUUC
rnacentral:rRNA from 1 species